AUAUAAUUAGCACAUAUUUUUUAAUUUUAACAAAUAGUAGCAUUACACCUAUAUAAAAGGGCUUGCAUAAAUGAAUAUAUAACACGUAUAUACUGUUAUUUUUGUGUGUAAAAUGCACAAUUUGAAUUUCAGUAAUAUGAACUAUUACAUCAAAUUGUAAUAAAUUGCCGUAGGAGAAAAAAAAAAAAAAAAAAAAAAAAAAAAAAAAAUAUGCGUGUAUCAAUAAUGAUUUAAAAAAAAAAAAAAAUAAAUAAAUGAAUAGAUACAAUAAGUGAUAAUAUUCUUUUUUUUUUUUUUUUACAGCUCAUUUAAAAAAAAAAUUAAUGUCCUAGAUUUGUAAAAAAAGGGUUAAGACACAUUUUAACAUUUAUUAAAUUCUGAUUUUUUGUAAUAAACAAAAAUUCUAUGAAUAUAUAUAUUAUGGAAUAUGGGAAAUACACAGGCAAUAUUAUCUGAGAAGGACCAGAAGGAUUUAUUACAAGCCGCUAAUUUUAGCGAAGCAGAUAUAAAAAAAAUGUAUAAAAGGUUUGUUGAGCUUGAUACUAAUAAAAAUGGACAACUAGAUCCUCAAGAGUUAUUUAAUGUUCCUGAAAUAAGUGAAGUAAAAAAAAAAAAAGAAAAAAAAAAAUACAUAUAUAUAUAUAUAUAUAUAUAUAUUGUAUAUAUUGUAUUUAUUGUAUAUUUUGUAUUUAUUGUAUUUAUUAAAUAUAUAUAUAUAUAUAUAUAUACAGAGAGAGAAAUAAAUAAUAACACC
ensembl:lncRNA